rnacentral:rRNA from 1 species
CAGUCGAGCGAGACCUUCGGGUCUAGCGGCGGACGGGUGAGUAACGCGUGGGAACGUGCCCUUUGCUACGGAAUAGUCCCGGGAAACUGGGUUUAAUACCGUAUGUGCCCUUCGGGGGAAAGAUUUAUCGGCAAAGGAUCGGCCCGCGUUGGAUUAGGUAGUUGGUGGGGUAAUGGCCUACCAAGCCGACGAUCCAUAGCUGGUUUGAGAGGAUGAUCAGCCACACUGGGACUGAGACACGGCCCAGACUCCUACGGGAGGCAGCAGUGGGGAAUCUUAGACAAUGGGGGCAACCCUGAUCUAGCCAUGCCGCGUGAGUGAUGAAGGCCUUAGGGUUGUAAAGCUCUUUCAGCUGGGAAGAUAAUGACGGUACCAGCAGAAGAAGCCCCGGCUAACUCCGUGCCAGCAGCCGCGGUAAUACGGAGGGGGCUAGCGUUGUUCGGAAUUACUGGGCGUAAAGCGCACGUAGGCGGACUGGAAAGUUGGGGGUGAAAUCCCGGGGCU